CCUCGACAGGCUUGGCCCCCGAUG
rnacentral:siRNA from 1 species